GGGCGCGUAGCUCAGUGGUAGAGCACACCCUUCACACGGGUGGGGUCGCAGGUUCAAACCCUGCCGCGCCCACCA
rnacentral:tRNA from 3 species